rnacentral:rRNA from 1 species
UGGGGAAUUUUGGACAAUGGGCAAAAGCCUGAUCCAGCAAUGCCGCGUGUGUGAAGAAGGCCUUCGGGUUGUAAAGCACUUUUGUCCGGAAAGAAAUCCUUGGCUCUAAUACAGUCGGGGGAUGACGGUACCGGAAGAAUAAGCACCGGCUAACUACGUGCCAGCAGCCGCGGUAAUACGUAGGGUGCAAGCGUUAAUCGGAAUUACUGGGCGUAAAGCGUGCGCAGGCGGUUUGCUAAGACCGAUGUGAAAUCCCCGGGCUCAACCUGGGAACUGCAUUGGUGACUGGCAGGCUAGAGUAUGGCAGAGGGGGGUAGAAUUCCACGUGUAGCAGUGAAAUGCGUAGAGAUGUGGAGGAAUACCGAUGGCGAAGGCAGCCCCCUGGGCCAAUACUGACGCUCAUGCACGAAAGCGUGGGGAGCAAACAGGAUUAGAUACCCUGGUAGUCCACGCCCUAAACGAUGUCAACUAGUUGUUGGGGAUUCAUUUCCUUAGUAACGUAGCUAACGCGUGAAGUUGACCGCCUGGGGGAGUACGGUCG